ncrna:Yersinia bercovieri ATCC 43970 C4 antisense RNA
AUCAAUGGUGAGCUGGGCAGGGGCAUCGCAAGAUGCGCCGGAUUCUCUGUUGACCGGUAGUUCCAACCUUGCUCAGUUCACCACCCAU